rnacentral:rRNA from 1 species
AGUGAACGCUGGCGGCGUGCCUAAUACAUGCAAGUCGAACGGAGUGGCGCACGGGUGAGUAAUAUAUAGCUAAUCUGCCCCUUGCUGGAGGACAACAGUUAGAAAUGACUGCUAAUACCCCAUAGAAAGGGAUGAGACUAUAUCGUAUCAGCUAGUCGGUGGGGUAACGGCCUACCGAGGCUAUGACGCGUAACUGGUCUGAGGGGAUGAUCAGUCACAUUGGAACGGAGACACGAUGCAGACUCCUACGGGAGGCAGCAGUAGCGAAUAGUGCGCAAUGGGGGAGACCCUGACGCGGCAACGGCGCGUUGAGGAUGACACUUUUCGAAGCGUAAACUCCUUUUGUUAGGGUAGCGGUACCUAACGAAGAAGCACCGGCUAACUCCGUGCCAGCAGCCGCGGUAAUUC